UACGGGGGGAGCAAGCGUUGUUCGGAUUCAUUGGGCGUAAAGGGUGCGUAGGCGGCGCGGUAAGUCGGGUGUGAAAUCUCGGAGCUUAACUCCGAAACUGCAUUCGAUACUGCCGUGCUUGAGGACUGGAGAGGAGACUGGAAUUUACGGUGUAGCGGUGAAAUGCGUAGAUAUCGUAAGGAAGACCAGUGGCGAAGGCGGGUCUCUGGACAGUUCCUGACGCUGAGGCACGAAGGCCAGGGGAGCAAACGGG
rnacentral:rRNA from 1 species